rnacentral:rRNA from 1 species
GAUGAACGCUGGCGGCGUGCUUAACACAUGCAAGUCGAACGGAAAGGCCCAAGCUUGCUUGGGUACUCGAGUGGCGAACGGGUGAGUAACACGUGGGUGAUCUGCCCUGCACUUCGGGAUAAGCCUGGGAAACUGGGUCUAAUACCGGAUAGGACGAUGGUUUGGAUGCCAUUGUGGAAAGUUUUUUCGGUGUGGGAUGAGCUCGCGGCCUAUCAGCUUGUUGGUGGGGGAAUGGCCUACCAAGGCGUCGACGGGUAGCCGGCCUGAGAGGGUGUACGGCCACAUUGGGACUGAGAUACGGCCCAGACUCCUACGGGAGGCAGCAGUGGGGAAUAUUGCACAAUGGGCGCAAGCCUGAUGCAGCGACGCCGCGUGGGGGAUGACGGCCUUCGGGUUGUAAACUCCUUUCGCUAGGGACGAAGCGUUUUUGUGACGGUACCUGGAGAAGAAGCACCGGCUAACUACGUG